UAAUUGUGUUUUAUUCAUGUGGAAAGCCACCCUGGCUGUGUAUCCUGGAGAAGAAUUCUGGGCUUGGUCCUGUUAGCAGCCACUUUCUGGACUUCUGAAGGAGCAGGGCCUUGGCCCUUGAGCCCUAGCGUGCAGGGAGCCUAAGACAAGGACCUGUAGAAGGAUGCCUGCAGUUUUUUUGCAAGAUUUUGUUUAUUUGUUUAUUUGAGAGAGAAGAAGUGAAGGGAAGACACAGAGGGAGAGGAAGAAGCAGGCUCCCCACUGAGCAGAGAGCCAGAUGCGGGGCUCUAUCCCAGGACCUUGGGACCAUGACCUGAGCUGAAGACAGAUUCUUAGCUGACUGAGCCACCCAGACACCCCAGUGGUGUGUGAUGAAAAGACAAUGGUACAGGAGUUGAGGAUUCUGGCGAGAAAAUAACGACCAUGCUAGUUAAAUACAACCUUGUCAAGUAACCAGAUUUCAAGCUUCUUGAAGACAAGACAACUCUGACUGUCGCUGUGGUGCCUUUGACAGGGAAAUUUUUAAAGUCUUAGAUAAAGCAGAAGAAAGGGGAGUUCUUCGAGGUGAAGGCGGGCCAUGGGACCCUGCAAGCUCAGAUGUCCUCUUCCACCUUAUCCCUCUUUCACAGCCAGGGUUGGCCCCUCAAGCACCUCUGCAGAGACCUGGGAUGCCAGGAAGACCAGUUUAAAAGCCAGCAAUUCAAAAGAGACUUGUUCUUGUUCAAAUCAUCUUUUGCUAUUAGCCUGAACAAUUGUUUGGAGUUCCUCAAAUAAAACAGGGGAAACAGCAGCCGACUUCGGAGGGAAAAAAAUGAUUGGAAAAGCAAAGUGACAGUGUUUACCAACACAUUACUCACAGUUCCGUGAGCCUUGGGGCUCCCAUCCGCCGUGGAGGAAAGUUUGAUUUACCUUGCCAUGAUAGGAAAACACUCACCCCCGUGACUUCACCGGCUCCCCACCUUGCAGACCACAUCAGACUGCGCUGGUGGGAAGUUGCAAGGGGAGGCGGCUGUGCACAGGGAACACAUGUCUUUGUGAGAGAGGGAGGCUGUCCUGGGCAGUGGCUAACGGGCCUGCUCAGUGGAAUUUUUCUCCCUUUUUAACCAGACUGAGCCUUGCUCCCUUCUGGCAGGCAGACAGGCCUACUCUUCCAAGUACACAGGGAAGUUCUGUUUUGACAAGCACACACAUUCUUUUUCAGAAAGCCACAGAGGCGAACGCCUUUGUUGCAGACAGACCAACUCCCUUCCAGUGCAGGAGGUGAAACCCUUUCAUGAGCCACAUAAUGGGAGCAGCCGUGGUGCUGGCCGACUCAGUCCCCGAAAAGUACAUAACUUCCAUUAUGUGGCUUCCACAUACGGAAUGUACUUCCCCUCUCGAAUCCAAACGCUGGCAGGGCUCUUUGUCCGGCACUGGGACUGGCAGGGAGCAGGGGCUGGCAGGAGUCAUGAGGCAUUUUUCUGUGGGCUUUGGCUUCCUGGCCAGUUGAACACAGUCCAAUUAUUGUCCCAAGGUUCUGCCAGAUAAAACAAGGAGAGAGCUUUUCUAGAUGCCUGGUGACUAUAAGAUGGAGGAGGGAAGGCGAGUGCUGAAUGGGGGGUGGGGUGUCCAAGUUCCAGCAAAGGCCGUGGCUCAGGAGACCCCUCCCCAGGCAGGGGCUCUGACUCUGCCCUCUGGAAUGUGCGGUGGCCUCCAGAGACCCUGCCCGUCAGGCGAAUGCCUGGUACUCUGGCCUUUCUCACCCUGGCAUGGGGCUCCAAUCUUAGCACCCUUUGUGACACAAAAUCAAAUUCCCUGGAACAUGGGGUUAGCAUUUUCAGCAAACUAAUCCCAUUGGUGAUAUUUAGUAUUCUGAGCAGAGUGGGCCAUACCCACAAGCAGUCUAGAAAGUUGCUACCUUGAGAUGGCAUCAUGAAGGCUGUAAGACGGGCGCCUGGGUGGCUCAGACAGUUGAGUGGCUGCCUUCAGCUCAGGUCAUCCUGGGAUGGAGCCCUGCAUCAGGCUCCCUGUUCAGCGGGGAGUCUGCUUCUCCCUCUGCCCCUCCCCCCACUCAUUCUCUCUCUCUAAUAAAUAAAUAAAUAAAUAAUCUUUAAAAAAAAUGCUGUAAGAUACUGUCCGCUUCCAAAGUACCUCCCUGACCUGCCCCCUCACUGUGCUUGAACUUCCUACAGUUGGAGGCACUAACUGGGAGUCACUAAAGGAUCACCUCCAGAAAGUUCUAUUUAAAAUGCACAUAUUAAAAAAUAAAAUAAAAUGCACAUAUUAAAUUAAUCGUGCCCUAAUUAAAAUGCAAAUUAUAAAAUAUAUGUAGGCUUACCUCUCCUGGGGUUCUAGUGGCUACUCCCCAUCUCUCCUUCCUAAGGAAUGGCUGCAUCUUUUUGACACAGGAGGCUAAGGACGAGUGUCUGCUCUGGGAUCUCCUCUUCUCCUAUUGUCCAGUUCCAUAUUCAUCUCACUUCCUUCAACAGUCCAUGAAGAGCUUCCUUCCACAUUGGUCUAAACAAACCCACAUCGGAUUGACCAUUUUCUAGUGUCUCGGCUGAGGUGCUAAAUGCAGAAGUUGUUCGAUAUCCAGUAUUCAAAGUAGAGAGACCUUCCAUCUUGGUUACAAUUCAGCAACUCUAUUUCUGCUGCUCUGUUAUUUUGGCACCUCUGUGCAAUUGCAUAGAUCUGUGAAAUGCUGAAAACUCAGGAGGAGCUCAUGUCCCCUGAAAUAUAAGGACUCUGUGAUAUUGCAUCCUGCAAAAUGUCUUUGAAGGCCUCUUAUCAAGUGCCUGUCCUCAGCCCUGCAGAGGUGGGGAGGUGCAAGAGGGUGGGACCUCCUUGAUGAUGGGCAGGACAAGAGAUGUCAUCCAGGCUGCUCAUUGCCAAACAGAUUCUGAUAACCCAAGACCCUUUCCCCUGUGGUCACUUCAGGUCUCCUGCUAUCAAAUGCCCAUCUGACUCUGGCACUUGUCCUCUGACCACAAAGUAUGCCUUUGCCAAUGCUUGAUGUUUAAUUAUUUCAACUUAAUUAAGUCUAGGUCACUCAUAUUGUCUUGCUUUCUCCCAGUUUUUUCAAACCCAACCUGAAGAGGAUUGGAGACCCAGGGCUUAGGAUCAAGGCGGGGAGGAAAAUCCAGGCUUCAAAGCUAUUCUUACUGCUAGAUAAAUGCGCAAAUAAAUAAAUAAAACACUCCA